UACCCUUGACAUGCCUGGAAUCUUGCAGAGAUGUGAGAGUGCUCGAAAGAGAGCCAGGACACAGGUGCUGCAUGGCCGUCGUCAGCUCGUGUCGUGAGAUGUUGGGUUAAGUCCCGCAACGAGCGCAACCCUUGUCAUUAGUUGCUACGAAAGGGCACUCUAAUGAGACUGCCGGUGACAAACCGGAGGAAGGUGGGGAUGACGUCAGGUCCUCAUGGCCCUUAUGGG
rnacentral:rRNA from 1 species